rnacentral:lncRNA from 1 species
GAGUUUCCGAGGGUAUCACCAGCCCAGUAGUCAGCACUUCUGUGUUGACAUGAAUUAUCAUUGAUUUGGUCAUAAUUAUAAAUUAACUGUUUACAAUAAUUCGUGUUCUUACUUUACCACGUGAACAUAUUGCUCAUGCACCACCACUUUCAGAAGAGUAAAUAGUUCUUAGUAUUUUGCGUGCAAAGUCUGAAUGGUUUUAUUUUAAAUCAUC